AGCGAACGCUGGCGGCAGGCUUAACACAUGCAAGUCGAGCGGGCCCUUCGGGGUCAGCGGCAGACGGGUGAGUAACACGUGGGAACGUACCCUUUGGUUCGGAAUAACGCUGGGAAACUAGCGCUAAUACCGGAUACGCUCUUUUGGGGAAAGGCUUGCUGCCGCAGGAUCGGCGCGCGUCUGAUUAGCUAGUUGGUGGGGUAAUAGCCUACCAAGGCGACGAUCAGUAGCUGGUCUGAGAGGAUGAUCAGACACACUGGGACUGAGACACGGCCCAGACUCGUACGGGAGGCAGCAGUGGGGAAUAUUGGACAAGGGGCGCAAGCCUGAUCCAGCCAUGCCGGGUGAGUGAUGAAGGCCUUAGGGUUGUAAAGCUCUUUUGUCCGGGACGAUAAUGACGGUACCGGAAGAAUAAGCCCCGGCUAACUUCGUG
rnacentral:rRNA from 1 species